rnacentral:rRNA from 1 species
UACGUAGGAUGCAAGCGUUGUCCGGAAUUAUUGGGCGUAAAGAGCGCGCAGGCGGUCUGCCAAGUCAGAUGUGAAAUAUCCCGGCUUAACCGGGAGGGGUCAUUUGAAACUGGUAGACUAGAGUACAGCAGAGGAUAGUGGAAUUCCCGGUGUAGUGGUGAAAUGCGUAGAUAUCGGGAGGAACACCAGUGGCGAAGGCGACUAUCUGGGCUGAAACUGACGCUGAGGCGCGAAGGCUAGGGGAGCAAGCAGGG